UACGUAGGGGGCAAGCGUUGUCCGGAAUCAUUGGGCGUAAAGAGCGUGUAGGCGGUCCGAUAAGUCCGCUCUGAAAGCCCGGGGUUCAACCCCGGGAGGCGGGCGGAUACUGUCGGGCUAGAGUCCGGAAGAGGCAAGUGGAAUUCCUGGUGUAGCGGUGAAAUGCGCAGAUAUCAGGAGGAACACCGAUGGCGAAGGCAGCUUGCUGGGACGGUACUGACGCUGAGGAGCGAAAGCGUGGGGAGCGAACAGG
rnacentral:rRNA from 1 species